GGCAUGCCUAACACAUGCAAGUCGAACGAAGGCUUCGGCCUUAGUGGCGCACGGGUGCGUAACGCGUGGGAAUCUACCCUUGGGUUCGGAAUAACAGUGAGAAAUUACUGCUAAUACCGGAUGAUGUCGAAAGACCAAAGAUUUAUCGCCCGAGGAUGAGCCCGCGUAGGAUUAGCUAGUUGGUGAGGUAAAGGCUCACCAAGGCGACGAUCCUUAGCUGGUCUGAGAGGAUGAUCAGCCACACUGGGACUGAGACACGGCCCAGACUCCUACGGGAGGCAGCAGUGGGGAAUAUUGGACAAUGGGCGAAAGCCUGAUCCAGCAAUGCCGCGUGAGUGAUGAAGGCCUUAGGGUUGUAAAGCUCUUUACCCGGGAUGAUA
rnacentral:rRNA from 1 species